rnacentral:lncRNA from 1 species
AGUGAUUCACCCAGAUGAUGUCACUUAAAGGUGAGUGAAGAUGCUUUCUUACUGGAGAAGACAGAUAUCACUGACUGCUGGCAGGAGGUGGCUCAGGUGCUGGAGUUCAAACAAUCUGUGCGUAGCCCAGAGACAGACUGCUUCCCAGAGAAGACAUUUGUCUUUGUUCUCUUACUUGUUGUGGCCUGUCCCAACAGGAACUCACAUGGGUUGAGAAAAAAAAUUUUUCCUUCCUGACAGUUUUUGGCAAUGCAGAUGGGACUUUCUGGGAUACCCCAUCCACUCUGGAACCUGCAGAUGAAAUCCUAGCAAAACUGGCAGAAGCUGGUAAAAGAAAGAUUCAUGGAAAGCACUCUGACAAAUACAGGCUUCUGAUAACUUCAAGAUCAUACCAUUUGGCCAGAAAUGCCUCUUAUUAGAUCACCAUAUAGAGGCCUAACUUUGAUGAGAGCUCACCUGCAAUAUCUCCUGAAAUGAGACACAACUGCUUAAUUGAAUUGACCUAUUCUCAGCACUAAGACAAUGAUUUGAUAUGGGGCAAUGUACUUAAAUUUGUUCAGCUGCACUUGUUCCAAUCUAUGUUUUCCUCUUCCUUUGCCAAUCCCUGAUCUCACAAUCUCUAAUCCAAAUCUCUUCAAAGCUACCAACUUGGAGAGUUCUAAGCCACCAUUUUGAGUUACUUUGUGUUGUGGUUUCUCCUGCAUUGUGUGCUGCACGUAUUAAUAAACUUGUUUUUCUCUUAUUAAUC